rnacentral:rRNA from 1 species
GACGAACGCUGGCGGCGUGCUUAACACAUGCAAGUCGAACGAAAAGAGGGAAAGAGCUUGCUCUUUCCGGAAUUGAGUGGCAAACGGGUGAGUAACACGUAAACAACCUGCCUUCAGGAUGGGGACAACAGUCGGAAACGACUGCUAAUACCGAAUAAGUUCCAAGGGCCGCAUGGCCCAUGGAAGAAAAGGUGGCCUCUACCUGUAAGCUAUCGCCUGAAGAGGGGUUUGCGUCUGAUUAGCUGGUUGGAGGGGUAACGGCCCACCAAGGCGACGAUCAGUAGCCGGUCUGAGAGGAUGAACGGCCACACUGGAACUGAGACACGGUCCAGACUCCUACGGGAGGCAGCAGUGGGGAAUCUUCCGCAAUGGGCGAAAGCCUGACGGAGCAACGCCGCGUGAGUGAUGACGGCCUUCGGGUUGUAAAACUCUGUGAUCCGGGACGAAAAGGCAGAGUGCGAAGAACAAACUGCAUUGACGGUACCGGAAAAGCAAGCCACGGCUAACUACGUG